GCCUGGGACGCCAUAUGGUGCCUAGGACAACAGCCCUCUGUAAAUAUUAGCUCCAUAGACAAGGCAACUCUACAAACAGAAUCUAAGUGUGCCAAACUAACACACUGUGUAUCACUGGCCUUUCUCUUAUGUGUUUAUAAAAGAAAAAGCAAUAUGCAGUAGACCUAAGUACUCAGACCUCUGGCUAUGAGAACAGGACAUGGUACCCAAGGUCUUCUUUGAAUUAAAAAAAAAAAAAAUGAUCUUCAUAGAAGGGAUCCACAUCUCUGUUAAGAAAGAAGCCAGACCCGAUAAGCAAGGCAAGAGGACCCAUGAAGAUGGCGACUCUCCUCUUUUAUAAGGGACAAGGAAGUUUACUGACAUCUGCUGGGAGAAAGACCAGGAGGCAGCCAGCAGGUGGAGGAGGGGUCGAGAGCCCAGCUGUGGAAGCAGGGAGCCUGUGUUUGGAUCCCAGCUCCACUCCUCACAGGUUGUGUGGUGUUAAGGAAGAGUCAAGACCUCUAACAGCCAUGGCCAGCCAGUCAACAGUUUGGUACCUUUAAAGGACUUCUGCCAUAACCUGUGCUAUCUGACGGCUGGAUCUCCCAUCUACAGCUCUGGUGGAAGGAACAGAGCCGUUUACUCUAUGUACUCAGCCACAAAACACAGGGGUUGAUAAACAUUUGUUUAAAAUAUAUAUAUAUAUAUUCUUAAGCAGUGCUUUCAAGACUCCCUGAAAAGCCUUGAGUUUUCAAAUGAGUGACAUGGGGAUAGAUGUAAAAAGCUCUUGCAAAUGAGUUGUUUACACCAAUCCAUCAGGUCAUGGAAAUUUUGCUCGAGAUCUGUUUGUGUGGGAACAACAUUGGAAUACUAGCUUGCCGGUGCCAGCUUUGAAACCGACACAAUGAAUAGCUAUUGUUCCGACACAGUAUCCGGCUGCUCAUGUCUACACACACUGAAGACGACCUUCCUCUUCAGAAAUAACUUCCAGCCAUUAUUUAGUUUUUUUUUUAAUUGUUACCGGUGUACCCGAUGUUCUAGAUGCCUGGGGAAGAGGGAAAUUGCAUAAAGACAUGUCAGAUUCUCUUCUAAAAGGGUUCCACAACUUCUCUAUUUUGUUCAGUCAGGUCACCCAGGUUACAGCAUUCCUAGCGUAAUGAGAAAUGGUGGAAGAGACACAAAAUAAAGGGCGAAGAAGGGAAGUAAAUUAUUAAACACGUAUUAAGUACCGGGCUCUGUGUUAUAUUUUAUUUCACCACCACAACCCUGUGAAAAUAAAUACUAUUCCCUAUUUUGCAGAUGAGGCAACUAAGGUUUAGAGAGAUUAAGUAACUUACUUAAAUUAUUUAAAAUGCCUCAGAGCUGGGGUUUGAACCUAAUUCUGCUGACUACAAAUCCUCAUUUUCUCCCACCACAUGGAUUUGCCCUCGAGAAGACUGUCAUCUAGUGGGUGAGGCAAGACUUACACAGGGAAACCAACUGGAGACCCAUAUCAGCAGUGCAUAAUCAGAUGCUUAAUUCACGUGAUCAAGACUCUUGAAUUCAAUUCUAUAAACAAGAACAAAUAGCCACAAAGAGCAAGGCCCUAAGCAAAAUACCGGCAGGGUCAGUAAAGGAAGCAUGACUUUUGUUUCAAUGACAUACACGCCUCAGAUAAUCUGAGAUCCUCUGAGAAUUAACUGAGAAUAAUUCUAUAAUAAAUAAUUCUCAGAGAAUCUCAGAUUAUCAGAGAAGAUAAGCAUGAGGCUAUAGGAACAAGAUGGCAUUGCCCACCUUUUGAUGUGCCUGGGCCCACUCAUGUCUUUUCCCUAAAGUUCCAGGGUCUGAAGCAUAAUAGACUUGGGAUGGGAGGUGUCAGAGAAAAGCCAGUAGGUCCCAAGACACUGAAGAAAAUGUGAAUUAGAGGUCACAAAGAGAGCUGAUAGCACCCCUCCCUCAUUAGGAACAAAAGCCUCAAAGGUGAAUGAUUACCUGCUAAUGUUUCAGGAAAUGUUUAGCUUCUAGGAUGCCUGCCUGGUUUCUUCCCAUCCACUGGUAUCCACAGUCCUGUGGGAACGGCAGUUGUGCUCAUCAUGAAGCUAUCAUAAAUAGCCCCAAACUCACCCCUCUUUGCUCUGGCAGUUGGGGGCCAGGACUGUGUGGCAUGCUGCCGUUAGGCUGUGCCAGGGAGGAGUGCUGGAUGGAGUCCACAAGGCCACAGAGGGAAGAAGGGGCCAGCUCUCUGCUGAGUGCUGACCGUUUGCUUCCUAUUUAUCAGCAGCUGCACAGUCUCAGGGCUUUGCCUGGACUGGCCUGUUCUUCCGGUAGCAGCAGGUGAUUUCAGUUGGCAGUUGUUCCAAUACUCACAGAACAAGCCUCGUGGUACGUGACCACCAACCCUCAAAUCUUCUAUGUUUUAAAAAUGCUGACCUCAGCCGUAGCAACAUCUUCCUAGGAACAUCGCCAAAGGCAAGGGAAGCAAGGGCAAAAAUGAACUAUUGGGAUUUUAUCAAGAUCAAAAGCUUUUGCACAGCAAAGGAAACAAUUAACAAAACCAAAAGACAACUGACAGAAUGGGAGAAGAUAUUUGCAAAUGACAUAUCAGAUAAAGGACUAGUGUCCAAAAUCUAUAAGGAACUUAGCAAACUCAACACCCAAAGAACAAAUAGUCCAGUCAAGAAAUGGGCAGAGGACAUGAACAGACAUUUCUACAAAGACGACAUCCAGAUGGCCAACAGACACAUGAAAAAGUGCUCCAUAUCACUCAGCAUCAGGGAAAUACAAAUCAAAACCACAAUGAGAUAUCACCUCACACCAGUCAGAAUGGCUAAAAUUAACAAGUCAGGAAAUGACAGAUGCUGGCAAGGAUGCGGAGAAAGGGGAACCCUCCUACACUGUUGGUGGGAAUGCAAGCUGGUGCAACCACUCUAGAAAACAGCAUGGAGGUUCCUCAAAAUGUUGAAAAUAGAACUACCCUAUGACCCAGCAAUUGCACUACUGGGUAUUUACCCUAAAGAUACAAACGUAGUGAUCCGAAGGGGCACGUGCACCCGAAUAUUUAUAGCAGCAAUGUCUACAAUAGCCAAACUAUGGAAAGAACCUAAAUGUCCAUCAACAGAUGAAUGGAUAAAGAAGAUAUGGUAUAUAUACACAAUGGAAUACUAUGCAGCCAUCAAAAGAAAUGAAAUCUUGCCAUUUGCAACAACGUGGAUGGAACUAGAGGGUAUCCUGCUUAGCGAAAUAAGUCAAUCGGAGAAAGACAACUAUCAU